rnacentral:rRNA from 1 species
GAUGAACGCUGGCGGCGUGCCUAAUACAUGCAAGUCGAGCGAACGGACGAGAAGCUUGCUUCUCUGAUGUUAGCGGCGGACGGGUGGGUAACACGUGGAUAACCUACCUAUAAGACUGGGAUAACUUCGGGAAACCGGAGCUAAUACCGGAUAAUAUUUUGAACCGCAUGGUUCAAAAGUGAAAGACGGUCUUGCUGUCACUUAUAGAUGGAUCCGCGCUGCAUUAGCUAGUUGGUAAGGUAACGGCUUACCAAGGCAACGAUGCAUAGCCGACCUGAGAGGGUGAUCGGCCACACUGGAACUGAGACACGGUCCAGACUCCUACGGGAGGCAGCAGUAGGGAAUCUUCCGCAAUGGGCGAAAGCCUGACGGAGCAACGCCGCGUGAGCGAUGAAGGUCUUCGGAUCGUAAAACUCUGUUAUUAGGGAAGAACAUAUGUGUAAGUAACUGUGCACAUCUUGACGGUACCUAAUCAGAAAGCCACGGCUAACUACGUG